rnacentral:snRNA from 1 species
AACCAUCCCCAUUACUGGAACUGGAAUCAA